AUAUCUACUGGCGGUAUCCUCUUUCUCCCUAAACUUCUCUCUCUUUCUCUAGCCCCCCAAAACCCUCGGCAGCCGACGGCGUCGCGAUCCUUCCUAAUCGACGGCGGCGGUGCGGCUGGUCUGGAGCGGCGGUGCUGAGGCCGGCGGAGUCAUGUAAGUAAACCUAGCCUCGUCGGAGCCGGAUCCGCCGGCGAUCGGCUGAGCGCUCUGCCGGAUGGCCUCCUCCACGCCAUCUUGUCCUCCCUCUCCACCCGGCAGGCGGUGCAGACGUGCGUGCUGUCCGAGAGGUGGAGGGAUCUGUGGUGGUUUGGUUAUCAGUGCUCCUCGUCUUGCUUCCCUGCGCCUGGACAUUCCGUACUACACCCAUAAGAACGGUGUGUUGUUAAAUGGGGCGAAUUCUCUUGUGGGUGCUUCUGUUAGUGUAAUACCUUGCCAAAUCUCGCCAGAAGGUCAAGCCACGCUUCUUUGAGGCCUGUUCAAUGUGACCAAUUUGGAGUUGGACGGUAUUCAGGCAAUGACAAUGCUACAGGAGAAGUUCAAUAAAUUCCCGUUAUUCGACAACCUGAGAACCUUGUCACUAGGCAGUUGUUUCAGUGAUGAAGUUGAUUUGAAUGACAAAUUCAGGGCUCUUGCAAGAUUGUUGGAAAUGUGUCCUAAUUUGGAGAAGCUUACGUUGCAGAGUUGUUGGUUUUUAAGAGGUUCUGGGACUCGGAGGGCAAAGCGAAAGACCAGAACAGGUGGGCUCUGUCUCCAAAAUCAGGACCAAAUGUCCUUCCAUUGUGAGAAAUUGAAGUUGAUUGAAAUCAAAUAUGAUGAUUAUCUUCACUAUGAUCACCAACUGUUUCAACUGAUGUGGUGCUUCUGGAGAAACCUAAAGAAGGGUACCAUCGUUCUUAGUAAAAUCUCUAAUGAGUUUUCUAUUGUUUCUGCGGAUUCUCCGAGUGAGGAGGAUUCUCUUUCGGAUUAGCAUAUACAAUGCCAUUACCCUGCUUGUUUAGGCGUACAACCACCAACUAUUAGCACCUUAUAAUGGCAUGGUAGAGACUAGAGAACUCUUUUGUAUGCCCCAUGUUGAAAUUAUAUAUGUAUUAGCGCCCUUAUAAUGGCACGGUAGAGACUAGAGGAUCGACUACUCUUUAUGUUUGCCGUGUAUGUAACUGAUGGACUGAUGUUCAUUAUGGAACCAGCUGUAUUCAUUAGCAACAAAG